UGGGGAAUAUUGGACAAUGGGCGAAAGCCUGAUCCAGCCAUGCCGCGUGUGUGAAGAAGGUCUUCGGAUUGUAAAGCACUUUAAGUUGGGAGGAAGGGCAUUAACCUAAUACGUUAGUGUUUUGACGUUACCGACAGAAUAAGCACCGGCUAACUCUGUGCCAGCAGCCGCGGUAAUACAGAGGGUGCAAGCGUUAAUCGGAAUUACUGGGCGUAAAGCGCGCGUAGUUGGUUUGUUAAGUUGGAUGUGAAAUCCCCGGGCUCAACCUGGGAACUGCAUUCAAAACUGACUGACUAGAGUAUGGUAGAGGGUGGUGGAAUUUCCUGUGUAGCGGUGAAAUGCGUAGAUAUAGGAAGGAACACCAGUGGCGAAGGCGACCACCUGGACUAAUACUGACACUGAGGUGCGAAAGCGUGGGGAGCAAACA
rnacentral:rRNA from 1 species